rnacentral:rRNA from 1 species
AAAUUGAAGAGUUUGAUCAUGGCUCAGAUUGAACGCUGGCGGCAGGCCUAACACAUGCAAGUCGAACGGUAACAGGAAGCAGCUUGCUGCUUUGCUGACGAGUGGCGGACGGGUGAGUAAUGUCUGGGAAACUGCCUGAUGGAGGGGGAUAACUACUGGAAACGGUGGCUAAUACCGCAUAACGUCGCAAGACCAAAGAGGGGGGACCUUCGGGCCUCUUGCCAUCAGAUGUGCCCAGAUGGGAUUAGCUUGUUGGUGAGGUAACGGCUCACCAAGGCGACGAUCCCUAGCUGGUCUGAGAGGAUGACCAGCCACACUGGAACUGAGACACGGUCCAGACUCCUACGGGAGGCAGCAGUGGGGAAUAUUGCACAAUGGGCGCAAGCCUGAUGCAGCCAUGCCGCGUGUAUGAAGAAGGCCUUCGGGUUGUAAAGUACUUUCAGCGGGGAGGAAGGUGUUGUGGUUAAUAACCGCAGCAAUUGACGUUACCCGCAGAAGAAGCACCGGCUAACUCCGUGCCAGCAGCCGCGGUAAUACGGAGGGUGCAAGCGUUAAUCGGAAUUACUGGGCGUAAAGCGCACGCAGGCGGUCUGUCAAGUCGGAUGUGAAAUCCCCGGGCUCAACCUGGGAACUGCAUUCGAAACUGGCAGGCUUGAGUCUUGUAGAGGGGGGUAGAAUUCCAGGUGUAGCGGUGAAAUGCGUAGAGAUCUGGAGGAAUACCGGUGGCGAAGGCGGCCCCCUGGACAAAGACUGACGCUCAGGUGCGAAAGCGUGGGGAGCAAACAGGAUUAGAUACCCUGGUAGUCCACGCCGUAAACGAUGUCUACUUGGAGGUUGUGCCCUUGAGGCGUGGCUUCCGGAGCUAACGCGUUAAGUAGACCGCCUGGGGAGUACGGCCGCAAGGUUAAAACUCAAAUGAAUUGACGGGGGCCCGCACAAGCGGUGGAGCAUGUGGUUUAAUUCGAUGCAACGCGAAGAACCUUACCUGGUCUUGACAUCCACAGAAGAAUCCAGAGAUGGAUUUGUGCCUUCGGGAACUGUGAGACAGGUGCUGCAUGGCUGUCGUCAGCUCGUGUUGUGAAAUGUUGGGUUAAGUCCCGCAACGAGCGCAACCCUUAUCCUUUGUUGCCAGCGGUUAGGCCGGGAACUCAAAGGAGACUGCCAGUGAUAAACUGGAGGAAGGUGGGGAUGACGUCAAGUCAUCAUGGCCCUUACGACCAGGGCUACACACGUGCUACAAUGGCGCAUACAAAGAGAAGCGACCUCGCGAGAGCAAGCGGACCUCAUAAAGUGCGUCGUAGUCCGGAUUGGAGUCUGCAACUCGACUCCAUGAAGUCGGAAUCGCUAGUAAUCGUGGAUCAGAAUGCCACGGUGAAUACGUUCCCGGGCCUUGUACACACCGCCCGUCACACCAUGGGAGUGGGUUGCAAAAGAAGUAGGUAGCUUAACCUUCGGGAGGGCGCUUACCACUUUGUGAUUCAUGACUGGGGUGAAGUCGUAACAAGGUAACCGUAGGGGAACCUGCGGUUGGAUCACCUCCUUA